GCCUACUUUGUCAGUUGGUAGAGCAUGGUGUUUGCAACGCCAGGGUUGUGGGUUCGAUUCCCACGGGGGGCC
rnacentral:tRNA from 1 species